rnacentral:rRNA from 1 species
GCCCUACGGGUGGCUGCAGUGGGGAAUAUUGGACAAUGGGCGCAAGCCUGAUCCAGCCAUGCCGCGUGAGUGAUGAAGGCCCUAGGGUUGUAAAGCUCUUUCACCGAUGAAGAUAAUGACGGUAGUCGGAGAAGAAGCCCCGGCUAACUUCGUGCCAGCAGCCGCGGUAAUACGAAGGGGGCUAGCGUUGUUCGGAAUUACUGGGCGUAAAGCGCACGUAGGCGGAUAUUUAAGUCAGGGGUGAAAUCCCGCAGCUCAACUGCGGAACUGCCUUUGAUACUGGGUAUCUUGAGUAUGGAAGAGGUGAGUGGAAUUCCGAGUGUAGAGGUGAAAUUCGUAGAUAUUCGGAGGAACACCAGUGGCGAAGGCGGCUCACUGGUCCAUUACUGACGCUGAGGUGCGAAAGCGUGGGGAGCAAACAGGAUUAGAUACCCGUGUAGUCGUU